rnacentral:lncRNA from 1 species
CCCAGGGUCUGGUGCGGAGAGGGCCCACAGUGGACUUGGUGACGCUGUAUGCCCUCACCGCUCAGCCCCUGGCCAGGUCUCCAGCUGGGGUGGACGUGCCCACCAGCUGCCGAAGGCCAGGACGCCAGGUCCGGUGGACAUGCCAAGCAGGACAUGACAUGGUCUGGUGUGACGGCGAGGACAGAGGAGGCGCGUCUGGCCUUCCUGGUGAGAACACCUUAGGCUGGUGGGGCUGCGGCAAGAAGCGGGUCUGUUUCUUUACUUCCUCCACGGAGUCGGCACGCUAUGGCUGCCCCUCUGGGCUCCCAGAACCCACAACAUGAAAAAAUGGUGCUACCCAGCUCAAGCCUGGGCCUUUGAAUCCGGACACAAAACCCUCUAGCUUGGAAAUGAAUAUGCUGCACUUUACAACCACUGCACUACCUGACUCAGGAAUCGGCUCUGGAAGUGAAGCUAGAGGAACCAGACCUCAUCAGCCCAACAUCAAAGACACCAUCGGAACAGCAGCGCCCGCAGCACCCACCCCCCACCGGCGACUCCAUCUUCAUGGCCACCCCCUGCGGCGGACGGUUGGCCACCAGCCACCACAUCAUCCCACAGCUGAGCUCCUCCAGCGGGAUGACGCCGUCCCCACCACCUCCCUCUUCUUCUUGUUCAUCCUUCUGUCUCUUUGUUUCUGAGCUUUCCUGUCUUUCCUUUCUUCUGAGAGAUUCAAAGCCUCCACGACUCUGUUUCCCCCGUCCCUUCUGAAUUUAAUUUGCACUAAGUCAUUUGCACUGGUUGGAGUUGUGGAGAUGGCCUUGAGUCUCGGUGCGAGUGUGCGUGAGUGUGAGCCACCUUGGCAAGUGCCCGCCCAGGGCCCGGCCGCCCUCCAUCUGGGCCGGGUGACUGGGCGCCGGCUGUGUGCCCGAGGCCUCACCCUGCCCUCACCUAGUCUGGAAGCUCCGACCGACAUCACGGAGCAGCCUUCA